CCUACGGGAGGCAGCAGUGAGGAAUAUUGGACAAUGGGCGCAAGCCUGAUCCAGCCAUGCCGCGUGCAGGAUGACGGUCCUAUGGAUUGUAAACUGCUUUUAUACGAGAAGAAACACUCCGACGUGUCGGAGCUUGACGGUAUCGUAAGAAUAAGGAUCGGCUAACUCCGUGCCAGCAGCCGCGGUAAUACGGAGGAUCCAAGCGUUAUCCGGAAUCAUUGGGUUUAAAGGGUCCGUAGGCGGUUUAAUAAGUCAGUGGUGAAAGCCCAUCGCUCAACGGUGGAACGGCCAUUGAUACUGUUAAACUUGAAUUAUUAGGAAGUAACUAGAAUAUGUAGUGUAGCGGUGAAAUGCUUAGAGAUUACAUGGAAUACCAAUUGCGAAGGCAGGUUACUACUAAUUGAUUGACGCUGAUGGACGAAAGCGUGGGUAGCGAACAGGAUUAGAUACCCUGGUAGUCCCGACGACCGUAACGUACUAGAGUACUAGCUGUUGGGUAGGCAUCUCUAGUGGUCGUAGACGAAGUAGAGUAAGUA
rnacentral:rRNA from 1 species